rnacentral:rRNA from 1 species
UUGAAAGGGAAACGAUUGAAGUCAGUCGUACCGACGAGAAAUCAACCUAUCGUGUGCGAACUUGUGGGCGUGCGUGAGUUUCGGCCUCGCUGUUUGCAUGUUUGUGCGUUUUGGGUGUACUUUUUCGUAUGGUAGGCCAACGUCAGUUUCGAUUAUCAUAAAAUGACCGGCGGAAUGUAGCUUCGAUUUCGGUUGAAGUGUUAUAGCCUCUGGUAGAUGUGGUGAUUGAGACUGAGGAUUGCAACGAAUACCCUUUGGGCUAUCCGUCUGGCCUCUGAAAGUUGCUCAAGUGCCGAAAGCGUGCUUACGGUUAUCUAAGAUAACGUUCAACAGGUUAGAACGUGAUUACAUUCGUUAAGGAUGUUGACGUA